AAGAAUUUAACUUGAUACUAUUUUUUUUAACCAUUUAUUAGUUUUUAUAAAAUGUCUGGAUAUUAAUUUUGUCUCAUUUUGGUCUUAAAUGUUACGUCGGAGCUUUGAUGUUUUUAUGAAAAGCAAUUUUGGAUCUAAACUGCUAUGAAUUAUCGCCUAGAUUCUUCUGUGAUUCAAAUAGAAAUGUCAAGCGCCAACUCAUUAAAAAGAUAUAAUAUCUUAAAAGAAAGAUAAAUCAGAAUAAGAAGUGACAUUUUGUGCCUUUUUAUUUAACCCUGUUAAAGCUAUGGAAUGUGCCUGGAAUUAAAGCUUUGCUGCCAUCGUUGUCGAAGAAAAAUGAAAUUAUUGAAAGUUGUCAAUCCAGAGUUCAGUACCCAAAUCGUAGUUUCUUCAUUGUCGCAGAAAAUGAAAUUCUUGCAAGCUGUUAAUUGGGAAUCCAACAUCGUAAUUGAUUCAUUGUCGCAGGCGAUGGAAAUUCUUGCAAGUGGGUAGUCGAGAAUCCGACAUCUUAAUUGCUUCGAAGAAAAAAAAUCAACAUUUCCAAGAAAUCUGCAGUGUACAUUUAUCGAUGAUAGAGCAAAAAAUUUUCUUUUGUUCAUACCUCUGUCACACGGGAUUACAUUUGGUAAGUUUAUAUAAUAUUGGCAUUUUUCGACUCUCGAAGACUAUUUGUGUAGAAUAUUUAGAGACUAGAAAUACCUCAUCUUCCGCAUUAAUUCGGAAUAUUAGAAGUUCAGAUUCUAACGCAUUCUAAAACUUUGGAAUAUUUCGAAGCAUUUUGAAGGGGAGAAUCGUGUUAAGUAGGAAAGUUAAGGAAGUAGUUAAGGAAGAAAUACUAAAUCUUAUAGUAUUAGUGCACCUGCAAUAAGAAUUGAAAUCCCUUGUUAAAAAAAAAUUCAGGAUAUCUCGGAUAUGGUUACCUAACUGAACUGCUAUAGUGAAUUUACCAAAAUACGUUUUCAAAAUCUACGGUCAUAGUUCUAAUUGGAUGUCGCUGCUAGUUUUUAGACCGAUGGUUUUAAUAAUCAGUUUAUAUACUACCUAUUGUCCAAACUGUUGCAUUUAUCAGAUAUAAUUUCAUCUCGACCUAAUCUUAAAGCAUAUUAAAUGCUCUAAUAGAUAUAUUGCUAUAGGAUAUUUUGUCUUAAAUUUUUCAAUUUUAUUACCAAUGCUGUACAUAAUCGAAAUUAGAUGCAUUCCUUCAACGGAUGUCGUAAUUCGAACUGCAGUAUCUGAAUUGCGGUA